CUUUCCAUAAAUUGAAGGUUUUUUAGGUUGAUGCUCAUAAAAAUGCUGUUUCUCCUCUUUUCUCUGUUGCCAAAUGAAAGUCUGAAAGCAGUUUGAUUCACUGUCAACAUCUACACAAGGAAAUCCAGGACACGUGUCCCUUGAUUUAAGAGCUUCAGCACAAUCAACCUGACAUUCUACAACACUGCCGUGUGUAAGCGUGUCUGGAUGCUGGGGUGAAAUCUGACUCCAGGUUUGGGAGGGAUAGCAUCUGGAGAGCACCUAAAGCACUCCGCCCACCACUCCCAAACCUCCCGUCCAAACGGUUCGAGGACCGCCAGGACACAGAAUCAACAGAUUAAAAUGAUAUGAAAGGCGCCAUGCAACAUACAAAACACAUAAUGAAGUCUACGAUUUGAAGCAG